GUACGGCCGCAAGGUUAAAACUCAAAUGAAUUGACGGGGGCCCGCACAAGCGGUGGAGCAUGUGGUUUAAUUCGAUGCAACGCGAAGAACCUUACCUGGUCUUGACAUCCACGGAAGUUUUCAGAGAUGAGAAUGUGCCUUCGGGAACCGUGAGACAGGUGCUGCAUGGCUGUCGUCAGCUCGUGUUGUGAAAUGUUGGGUUAAGUCCCGCAACGAGCGCAACCCUUAUCCUUUGUUGCCAGCGGUCCGGCCGGGAACUCAAAGGAGACUGCCAGUGAUAAACUGGAGGAAGGUGGGGAUGACGUCAAGUCAUCAUGGCCCUUACGACCAGGGCUACACACGUGCUACAAUGGCGCAUACAAAGAGAAGCGACCUCGCGAGAGCAAGCGGACCUCAUAAAGUGCGUCGUAGUCCGGAUUGGAGUCUGCAACUCGACUCCAUGAAGUCGGAAUCGCUAGUAAUCGUGGAUCAG
rnacentral:rRNA from 1 species